rnacentral:rRNA from 1 species
GCGCAGCAGGCGCGAAAACUUCACACUGUGCGAAAGCACGAUGAGGGAAUCCCAAGUGCUUGCACGUAAGUGUAAGCUGUUUCUCUGUUUAAAACGCAGAGAGAGUAAGGGCUGGGUAAGACGGGUGCCAGCCGCCGCGGUAAUACCUGGCAGCUCAAGUGGUGACCGUUAUUAUUGGGCCUAAAACGUCCGUAGCCGGUUUAAUAAAUGCCUGGGUAAAUCGUGUAGCUUAACUAUACGAAUUCCGGGUAGACUGUUAAACUCGAGACCGGGAGAAGUUAGAGGUACUCCUGGGGUAGAGGUGAAAUUCUGUAAUCCUAGGGGGACCACCAGUGGCGAAGGCGUCUAACUAGAACGGGUCUGACGGUGAGGGACGAAGCCCUGGGGCG